GCGGCACAAACUAGCGGUGCAAUGCAUAGAUAAUAAGCAAUAACGACAACAUCGAAAUAACAGCAGCAUGCACACAACAGUUGCAAGUCUUGCAUAGUUGCAUUCAGGCAGCAGCAAACAAGUAGCAGCCCAUUGUACAUCAUCGUCGGUCUUUAGCUGCUUUCAACAUUAGCAACAUCUUCAGGAAAUGGUACAAACUCCACAUCAUCCUCAAUAUCAGGUUCCUGAAAAACAAAAUGGUUAGAUAUCUUUAUCGGUCUAGCUUGAUGACAAACCGUGACAACAUCCUACAAUAUGGUGAUGAUAUGCUUGUUUCACAUAGUAUAUAUCACCACGCUUUUGGAUCUGCUAUGGAUUGUGUGAGCGUGCUGUGAACUUGUUUGUCAUGUAAACUAAUUCUUGAUUAUUUCACAGCUUACUAAACACUUUAGUAAGAUAUGGCCUAGUUGGAAGGUCCAAAAGUACCUAGCACCAGAGGAUGGCUCAUCAACUGGAACGCUAGGCAAGCCAUGGCAGAACCUGUUGGAGCUGCUCUUGAAGCACCCAGAGCAUUUUGUCACCAACACAAUAUGCAGAGGUACAACGUCAGAGUUUGUUUCGCUAGCCUCCUUGCUAGACACUGUUUUCCUGACAUGAUGUUGCUCAAGUCAUCAUCAGUCCAUGGUCAAAACAAAACAAAACAAAAAGACUUGUCCUUGUUUGUAUCCCCUGCUCAUGUUGUAAACAUGUACAUCUUUGCGGUAUCUUUUAUCCUUAGUUUUUAUGUACUAUGGUACUAUUUGGGAGAGUUUUUAAAAUCUGGAUUUGGUAUUAACCGUAGGCCUAUUAUCUUUGUUGUUUGUCGUUUUCGUUUCCUGAGUUGCAAUGAACAAGGUUGCAUUGUUUCAUGUUUCACAAAUUUACAUGAUUGCUUCUAAUAGCAUUUUAUUUUUAAUACUAGAGCAUGAUUUUAAUUUCAAUUGGUGCCUGAAUGGAAGCUUUAACAUCUUGAUGAGUAACUUCUUCAUGUGUUUUGGUUCUGCAAAAGGCCACCGAAUAGCUUGGUUUCUUCAUGGAACUAAAUCACUAUUACGGCUUGAUGAAAAUGUUUGAGCAAUUUCUUUUGAACUUCUUCUAUGUCGAGACAUCGAAACAUGUGGAUAGACUGAACCACACUAAAGACAUAAAGGAGCAAGUUUAAUUUGGUCCAAAUUCAGUGUCUAUCUUGUUGUUGCGCAAAACACUCACUAUUCGUCUUUUUUGCGCAAAACACCUACUAUUUGACUAAUCGGUUGCAAAUAAGUCAUAACCCUAAUUUCAGCACGCUAAUGACGAUUCUGACCGGUGGGGCCACCCGUCAGUGCCAACAUGGCGGUCUGGCCUUGCCAACGUGGAUCGAGCCGGCGUGGCGGUGGCGCGCCCAGAGCGGCAGGGCAACGGCGUGCGGCCGGGCGCACCCAGCGGCGACGGCGCACUUGGUCGCAUUGGCGGCCGCCUUGCUCGCGCCAGAGGCGGCGGCCCGCGCACCAGGCAGUCGCAGCGGCACCCUGCGCAUGAUGCGGAGGCGGCUCGUGCUCGUGAGACGCGGUCGGCAGCUAGGACGGCGGCGCACGCACCCAAGGCCACGGCGGCGUCCGUGCGAUCGAGCGGCAAGGGACGCACGGCCCGAGCGCUACGUGCAGUGGCUCGGGAAGGCGAACGGCGAAGCACCGAACCCGACCUGAUCCACGCCGGCAAGGCCAAGGCACCAUGUUAGCACUGACGGGUGGGCCCCAUCGGUCAGAAUCAUCGUUAGCGCGUUGAAACUCGCUUUAGGACUUAUUUGCAAGCCGAAUAGUAGGUGUUUUGCGCAAAAAAGACGAAUAAUGGGUGUUCUCCGCAACAACUGGACCAAUGUUGAGUGUUAUGUGCAAUUUUGUGCAAUUUCCUCGUCGGAAACCGCUUACUACCAAAUUCGGCAUGUCCAUAUAGUGCCCUUGUACUAGCUGUUCUUCGCCCUAAUGCUGGGGUGUACUGAAAGCACCGUCAGUUCAAUUUGUUGACUCCGCAGCCGGCUUUCUUGCCGACUCCACGACGAAACCUCCUUCUUCCAGGACUAGGAGGCGGUCGAGGGGCACCAACGCCCGCUCUCGUUUCCUCUACUUCUUCUUCGUCGUCGGUGAUCUCCAUCUCCACAUACCCCUUCCGUUCAUACUCCUCACGGAUCCUGUAAUAGUCCAGGUCGGCCAACGCUUCCUCCUCGUAUUUCUCGAUCAGGUCAUCCGUGGUGGCCGCGAUCUGCUUCAUGCCCUCCAGCGUGAACCCUUGCUCGGCGAGGUACUCGUCCGAGUCACCGCCCGGGAUCCGGGCCAGCAGCCGAUCCAUGAACCCUAGAUCCAGCAGGCGUGUCGAGCGUCUUCUCGCAGGACAGCACGAAGUCGACGUAGGAUUGUGACAGGAUUACCUUCUUCUUCUCCUCCUCCUUCGAGAGCGGCGCCGCCGUCACUGCCUCCUGUGCGGGCGGCGUUGGAUCUACGGACGCC
rnacentral:lncRNA from 1 species